rnacentral:rRNA from 1 species
UGAGGAAUAUUGGUCAAUGGGCGGGGAGCCUGAACCAGCCAAGCCGCGUGAUGGAAGAAGGUACAGCGUAUCGUAAACCUCUUUUGUCAGGGAACAAAGGCGGGGACUAGUCCCCGGAUGAGGGUACCUGAAGAAAAAGCAUCGGCUAACUCCGUGCC